rnacentral:lncRNA from 1 species
CGUGUGUGUGUAUAUGUGAGGAACUCGUUGGGUGCCUCAUGUGGAAUCAGAUUUGCUUUCUCUACUGGAGCACCUAAAUAAAUUCCAGUUCUUGAUUUGGUUUGUGUUGCUCAUAUAGGUUUUUUUUUAGAUUGUUACUUGUCUUUUGGUCAUUUUGUUUUGCCGUAGCAAAGACACUUGAUUUUUGACUGGCGUAUUUGGUAUUUUCCUUCUAUCGAAAACUGGGAUACAAAUGCAGGUUAUUGUGUGAAUCAAAUUUGUCAUUCUAAAUUGUUGGUACCUCCCAGAUACAUUACCUCUUAAAAUGUGUUAAGG